GCCGAAGUGGUGAAAUUGGUAGACAUGCACGUUUCAGGGGCGUGUGCCCGAAAGGGCGUGUGGGUUCGAGUCCCACCUUCGGCA
rnacentral:tRNA from 2 species